rnacentral:rRNA from 1 species
UAAUCACUUGUCUCUUAAAUGGAGACCUGUAUGAAUGGCAUCACGAGGGUUUAACUGUCUCCCUCCCCCAGUCAAUGAAAUUGAUCUACCCGUGCAGAAGCGGGUAUAAUAACAUAAGACGAGAAGACCCUAUGGAGCUUUAGGUAAAAGAUCAAACAUGUAAAAAAGAUUAGAAAAUCCCAGGACAAUAACAUACCUUCAAACCCAGCGUAAACUGAUCCCAAUUCCUUCGGUUGGGGCGACCACGGGGGAAAAAAAAGCCCCCAAAUGGAAUGAACAAAUUUCCAAGCCAAGGGCUACAGCCCUAAGCAACAGAACAUCUGACCAAAAAUGAUCCGGAAUAUUAAAAUAAGUCCGAUCAAUGAACCAAGUUACCCUAGGGAUAACAGCGCAAUCCUUUCCCAGAGCCCA